CGCAUGUUGAGGACGUCCGGUGUGUGUCAUGGAGUACGCAGCGAGUCCUGCUGUAAAUCUGGUGUAAAUGCCACGAUUUAAUCUUAACAACUCGAUUAUUCAACCGCGCCGGCGUUGAUAAGCUGCUCCUCCAUCAGGACACGAGCUGUGAACCCGAAAGAGUUAACUUUUGUCGAGUUAUUGACGCUUGAAAACUGCGGCUGUUUGUUUUUUUGGGAAGCACCAGAUCUGCUGCUGAACUUGGUGAUGGCGAGCCCAGCCCAGCGAGACUAUGGACGAUCGUGGACGCAGUGAGACAGACCGGAGGACCUGUUCACAGAGGACGUCUGCUUAAUCACUCACUCUGAUUCCAGAUAAGAACACACAUACACACUACCUGGGAAGUAGCAUUUAUGAACAGCAAACACACUUACGGACACAAAAACUGAACUAUUGAAGCACCCGAAACCCCAAACUUAAAGGAACAAAGUGAGUUGGAGAGCCCAACUCACAGAGACUCAUGCUUUUGUUUUUUUUUUUUUGUUUUUUUUCAUACAAAAAGCAGUACUGUGAAUGUUUCACUAUUACUGUGAAGCAAUAAAUGUGUCAUCUGUUUAACAUAAUAUCAGCUCUCUCUGUGAGUCAUUUAAGUUAUUGCUCCUUUCAGUAGAUGUUAGUGUCUCUUCUACCAGGUUAGGACUGUAGUGUUACAUUAAGUGUUCAAGAGAGCCUUUUUAAAUGUUUUAGUGCAGGCUUUCCGUCAUGUUCAUUUUUUUGUAGCGGUCCACCACAAUAACAUAAUUUGUGGCAUUUUAUUGCUGUUCUGUUCUCUGAAUUGGAACCUGUUGGAAUAAAUGCGUCCUACCAUUCA